GGUUGACCUCGGAUCGAGGUAGG
rnacentral:rRNA from 1 species